rnacentral:rRNA from 1 species
CUGCCCUUCAGAGUUUGAUCCUGGCUCAGGAUGAACGCUGGCGGCGUGCUUAACACAUGCAAGUCGAACGGCCCAUGAACCCGGUGCUUGCACUGGGGGAUUAGUGGCGAACGGGUGAGUAACACGUGAGUAACCUGCCCCUGACUCUGGGAUAAGCCCGGGAAACUGGGUCUAAUACCGGAUAUGACUGUCCACUGCAUGGUGCCUGGGGUGGUUGAAAGAUUUAUCGGUGAGGGAUGGACUCGCGGCCUAUCAGCUUGUUGGUGAGGUAAUGGCUCACCAAGGCGACGACGGGUAGCCGGCCUGAGAGGGUGACCGGCCACACUGGGACUGAGACACGGCCCAGACUCCUACGGGAGGCAGCAGUGGGGAAUAUUGCACAAUGGGCGAAAGCCUGAUGCAGCGACGCCGCGUGGCCUUGAGGGAUGACGGCCUUCGGGUUGUAAACCUCUUUCAGUAGGGAAGAAGCGAAAGUGACGGUACCUGCAGAAGAAGCGCCGGCUAACUACGUGCCAGCAGCCGCGGUAAUACGUAGGGCGCAAGCGUUAUCCGGAUUUAUUGGCCCCUUUUAAGGCGUAAAGAGCUCGUAGGCGGUUUGUCGCGUCUGCCGUGAAAGUCCAAGGCUCAACCUUGGAUCUGCGGUGGGUACGGGCAGACUAGAGUGAUGUAGGGGAGACUGGAAUUCCUGGUGUAGCGGUGAAAUGCGCAGAUAUCAGGAGGAACACCGAUGGCGAAGGCAGGUCUCUGGGCAUUUACUGACGCUGAGGAGCGAAAGCAUGGGGAGCGAACAGGAUUAGAUACCCUGGUAGUCCAUGCCGUAAACGUUGGGCACUAGGUGUGGGGGACAUUCCACGUUUUCCGCGCCGUAGCUAACGCAUUAAGUGCCCCGCCUGGGGAGUACGGCCGCAAGGCUAAAACUCAAAGGAAUUGACGGGGGCCCGCACAAGCGGCGGAGCAUGCGGAUUAAUUCGAUGCAACGCGAAGAACCUUACCAAGGCUUGACAUGUGCCAGACCGCCUCAGAGAUGGGGUUUCCCUUCGGGGCUGGUUCACAGGUGGUGCAUGGUUGUCGUCAGCUCGUGUCGUGAGAUGUUGGGUUAAGUCCCGCAACGAGCGCAACCCUCGUUCCAUGUUGCCAGCACGUAAUGGUGGGGACUCAUGGGAGACUGCCGGGGUCAACUCGGAGGAAGGUUCAUUAGCGCGUAACGGGGAUGACGUCAAAUCAUCAUGCCCCUUAUGUCUUGGGCUUCACGCAUGCUACAAUGGCCGGUACGAUGGGUUGCGAUACUGUGAGGUGGAGCUAAUCCCUAAAAGCCGGUCUCAGUUCGGAUUGGGGUCUGCAACUCGACCCCAUGAAGUCGGAGUCGCUAGUAAUCGCAGAUCAGCAACGCUGCGGUGAAUACGUUCCCGGGCCUUGUACACACCGCCCGUCAAGUCACGAAAGUUGGUAACACCCGAAGCCGAUGGCCUAACCACCUUGUGUGGGAGGAGUCGUCGAAGGUGGGACUGGCGAUUGGGACUAAGUCGUAACAAGGUAGCCGUACCGGAAGGUGCGGCUGGAUCACCUCCUAAGG